ensembl:lncRNA
AGUGGUCAUGUGCUUUUGUUCGGUAUGGGCUCAUGGGGAAAGCCCUAUAAUAUUUUCAGCUGGUUGCUAUGGAGCCAGCCAACAGUGAGCUCAGCUAAUAGAUUUGGGCUGACAUUGUUGUGGGAUGGGAGGACAGUGGCAAUGAAUAGACAAGUAAGUGUUGGAAUUGUACAGCAGAGGGAAAGUAAGGCAGGAGAAUGCUAGCAAAGUUCACCAGAGUGAACACAAGCGCAUAAGAACACAGAAUCACAAAGUGCACACAAGAAUGGUCUGGCUUUCAAAUGUCACAAUGGAAAUACAAAUCCUGAUGAACUAGAUAUGCACAUUGCUUACCCAUGAACCUUACCACAGAAAUCAAUCAUUGCGCAUUGUCUUUUGGAAUGUGCACCAUGAUGUGGCAGAAAAAGUGCUGGAUUGGGGAGCAGAAAGCUUGGUCCAGAUCCUGGCUCCCUUGGGAAGUCAUUGCAGGAAGUCAUGUUGGGCAAGUCACUCAGCCCUUCCUUUCCUUGGUUUCUCUAUCUGUGAGAUGAGGAGGUUGGAUUCAAGGAGUAAUAACACUCUGUAAUUGUUUAAUCAGCUCUCCAAAGCUUGGGAUUUCCCUCUGAUGGGCUCUGAUGAAGCAGCCAGUGAAACCUGAAAUAACAAAAAAUACACAUUGAGGGUGAAAUGUGACCCAGGAAGAGCCACAGACUUUAUAAUUUUCCCCUGAGUAACGAAAAGUUAACCUUGAAAAAAUAUUUUUGUUGUAAUUUGAGGGCACUUAUUGUGAGUAUUAUGAAAAUGUAGGGCUAUUUAUUGAAAUGAAAUAUUUGGUCCCAAAUAUUUGGGUUUUGAUUGGAUGACCAUUCUGGUUCAUGUUUUUUUGGAAAAUAGCUAUGUAAUAUUGUUCCAUUUAAAAGUUAUCUACUCGUAGCUUCAUACUCAUAGUCAAAGCUAUGGUUUUUCCAGUAGUCAUGUAUGGAUGUGAGAGUUGGACCAUAAAGAAAGCUGAGCGCCGAAGAACUGAUGCUUUUGAACUGUGGU